UCCUACCAGAGGAAACCUGCCGGGUCCUGUCCCAUCGUGUCCUCCCCUUUCAGUGACACGCGGGCCACAUCAUUCGUGGGUCCGAACGGUCAGUGGAAUAGCUGCCCAGGUCGCGCGCGAGCAGGCAUCGCCUUCGUCAGUUCGUCCCCCCUUCCGUUGACGCGGACAAGCGCAGAGCAGAGACCACCACACUCCAGCCUGCAGUCUGCGGAGAGCAAGGCGGCGGGUUUUUCCUAGUAGCUGCAGUCGAUUGCUUGACAUCGUUAUCAGCCCGCGAUUGCCCUGUCCCCCUCCUAUAGUUAUAUCUCCAGAAAUUGCAGCGCCAAGGUGGAAGCAGCACUUGACUACUUGAGAGAGAGAGAGAGAGAGAGAGAGAGAGAGAGAGAGAGAGAGGAGAGAGUGGGUGAGAGA